rnacentral:rRNA from 1 species
CGGAACACGUACAGAACCUUCCUUUAAGCGGGGGAUAGCCCAUAGAAAUGUGGAUUAAUACCCCAUAGUAAUAUUGACUGGCAUCAGUUGGUAUUUAAAGAUUUAUCACUUAAAGAUGGCUGUGCGGCUGAUUAGGUAGGUUGGUGCGGGUAACGGCCCACCAAGCCAGCGAUCAGUAACUGGUGUGAGAGCACGACCAGUCACACGGGCACUGAGACACGGGCCCG